AUAUUAAUUGUGUGUUUUUAUUGUUUAAAAGAAAAACUAAAUGGUUAAAAAAAAACUGGAAACAAUUGUGGCAGUUAUAAGCUUUAGGGCAGGUGUUACCAAUUGUGGACGUUCGCACUUUUCUUAUAUAAUUCCAUAGAGAAGAGAAGCAAAUGCUUACAACACCGAGGCGGUAGUAAACCAGGAGCGCGAGGACACACGGUGGCCCAGCACAGAGCCCAUCCAACACUUUGUGCGCGCGAAAGGAGGCGAGGACAAUGCCGAUUGAGGAAGAUGCCGGUUAGCAUCUUGUUCUCCAAGGAAAAGGCGGAGAGGAGCAGCGAAUGGAGCGGUCAACGCAGAGGGCUGAGCCAGAUCGUGGAAUGGCAGUGGAAAAAUUAGCACUUUUUCCCCUUGCAGUGGGUUAGCCAUCAUUCGUCUCCCACUCUGUUUUGUGACAGUCAUCUGCGUAGAGAAUUUUUCUGCUGGCGACACAAAAAUAACUUUUGGACCGGCUCGGAGUGGAUUUUCGUGAAUUUUACAGCAGGGAAUCAGAAUCACUGUUUUUUGUUUGGUUUUUACUACUGAAUAACCCAGUGCAAUUAAAACCCUUUGGGGGUGAAAGCAGCUCCAAGACGAGGGAGGAGAGCGUCCGCACAGCCCAGGACCCUGGUUCACCGGGAACGGUGGCUGCUGCCGGGCAAUCCUGGGAGAACGCUUAGAAGGCGGAGAGCGGGGGCACCCAGCCUGCGCAGCGAGUGUGCGCGCGCUCUGGUGCGAGUCUCCGGAGCUGUGCACCCAGCCGCCGCAGCCAGUCAUCUCGUUUCUGCCUUACACUUCCCUACAUUUUCUGAAGGUUUUGCAAAUAGCUUUGCAAACAGUAUGUGUUGGUUUUCAUAUUUUCUUUUAAAAAAUAAUAAUAAAGGAAAGCCCUCGUCCUUUUACCAGGCGCCCCACCUGAAGGGACCACUCGGGCUUCAUUUUGCCUGUCGCGGCUCAAGCAAGACCCAGUCGGCCCCGCGUCCCCUCCAAACCCUGUUCGCUCUUCUCUGCAGGAGCCCUCCGGGUCCUCCCGGACACUGCGCCCAGACCCUGGGCCUCCAGACUUGGGCCUUACUUGGGCUCCCUUGGGCAGGGGCUCCCCACGCCCCCGAGCGGAGGGGUGCCCCUGCCUGCUGUCCGAGGCGCGCUAGCAGUGAGGCGCUCCUUCGGCUUUCAGAUCACAGAGAGGGGCCAAGGGAUACGGAGCGUUUUCGCUGGGCGAGCUGCCUACGGAGGAGGUUACCGGCGGAUGCGGAGACUGCUGAGCAGGGAUUAAGGGAUGGAGAAAAGGGUAUCUAA
rnacentral:lncRNA from 1 species